rnacentral:misc_RNA from 1 species
UUUCCGUAGGUGAACCUGCGGAAGGAUCAUUAUCGUACAAAAUGCGAGGGGCAUGCGAGGGCUGUCGCUGACCCAAAAGUCGUGCACGCCCGAGUGUGUCCUCUUGCAUAAUAAUCCAUCUCACCCUUUGUGCAUCACCGCGUGGGCACCCUUCGGGAUCAUCUCGGAGGGGGGCUCGCGCUUUCACACAAACCCCCCUUUUAAAAGUGUAGAAUGACCACAUUUAUGCAAUCAAUACAACUUUCAACAACGGAUCUCUUGGCUCUC